rnacentral:rRNA from 1 species
UUAAGCGACUAAGCGUACACGGUGGAUGCCCUGGCAGUCAGAGGCGAUGAAGGACGUGCUAAUCUGCGAUAAGCGUCGGUGAGGUGAUAUGAACCGUUAUAACCGGCGAUUUCCGAAUGGGGAAACCCAGUGUGUUUCGACACACUAUCAUUAACUGAAUCCAUAGGUUAAUGAGGCGAACCGGGGGAACUGAAACAUCUAAGUACCCCGAGGAAAAGAAAUCAACCGAGAUUCCCCCAGUAGCGGCGAGCGAACGGGGAGGAGCCCAGAGCCUGAAUCAGUGUGUGUGUUAGUGGAAGCGUCUGGAAAGGCGUGCGAUACAGGGUGACAGCCCCGUACACAAAAAUGCACAUAUUGUGAGCUCGAUGAGUAGGGCGGGACACGUGGUAUCCUGUCUGAAUAUGGGGGGACCAUCCUCCAAGGCUAAAUACUCCUGACUGACCGAUAGUGAACCAGUACCGUGAGGGAAAGGCGAAAAGAACCCCGGCGAGGGGAGUGAAAAAGAACCUGAAACCGUGUACGUACAAGCAGUGGGAGCCUCUUUAUGGGGUGACUGCGUACCUUUUGUAUAAUGGGUCAGCGACUUAUAUUCUGUAGCAAGGUUAACCGAAUAGGGGAGCCGAAGGGAAACCGAGUCUUAACUGGGCGUUAAGUUGCAGGGUAUAGACCCGAAACCCGGUGAUCUAGCCAUGGGCAGGUUGAAGGUUGGGUAACACUAACUGGAGGACCGAACCGACUAAUGUUGAAAAAUUAGCGGAUGACUUGUGGCUGGGGGUGAAAGGCCAAUCAAACCGGGAGAUAGCUGGUUCUCCCCGAAAGCUAUUUAGGUAGCGCCUCGUGAAUUCAUCUCCGGGGGUAGAGCACUGUUUCGGCAAGGGGGUCAUCCCGACUUACCAACCCGAUGCAAACUGCGAAUACCGGAGAAUGUUAUCACGGGAGACACACGGCGGGUGCUAACGUCCGUCGUGAAGAGGGAAACAACCCAGACCGCCAGCUAAGGUCCCAAAGUCAUGGUUAAGUGGGAAACGAUGUGGGAAGGCCCAGACAGCCAGGAUGUUGGCUUAGAAGCAGCCAUCAUUUAAAGAAAGCGUAAUAGCUCACUGGUCGAGUCGGCCUGCGCGGAAGAUGUAACGGGGCUAAACCAUGCACCGAAGCUGCGGCAGCGACACUAUGUGUUGUUGGGUAGGGGAGCGUUCUGUAAGCCUGUGAAGGUGGCCUGUGAGGGUUGCUGGAGGUAUCAGAAGUGCGAAUGCUGACAUAAGUAACGAUAAAGCGGGUGAAAAGCCCGCUCGCCGGAAGACCAAGGGUUCCUGUCCAACGUUAAUCGGGGCAGGGUGAGUCGACCCCUAAGGCGAGGCCGAAAGGCGUAGUCGAUGGGAAACAGGUUAAUAUUCCUGUACUUGGUGUUACUGCGAAGGGGGGACGGAGAAGGCUAUGUUGGCCGGGCGACGGUUGUCCCGGUUUAAGCGUGUAGGCUGGUUUUCCAGGCAAAUCCGGAAAACCAAGGCUGAGGCGUGAUGACGAGGCACUACGGUGCUGAAGCGACAAAUGCCCUGCUUCCAGGAAAAGCCUCUAAGCAUCAGGUAACAUCAAAUCGUACCCCAAACCGACACAGGUGGUCAGGUAGAGAAUACCAAGGCGCUUGAGAGAACUCGGGUGAAGGAACUAGGCAAAAUGGUGCCGUAACUUCGGGAGAAGGCACGCUGAUAUGUAGGUGAAGCGACUUGCUCGUGGAGCUGAAAUCAGUCGAAGAUACCAGCUGGCUGCAACUGUUUAUUAAAAACACAGCACUGUGCAAACACGAAAGUGGACGUAUACGGUGUGACGCCUGCCCGGUGCCGGAAGGUUAAUUGAUGGGGUUAGCGGUAACGCGAAGCUCUUGAUCGAAGCCCCGGUAAACGGCGGCCGUAACUAUAACGGUCCUAAGGUAGCGAAAUUCCUUGUCGGGUAAGUUCCGACCUGCACGAAUGGCGUAAUGAUGGCCAGGCUGUCUCCACCCGAGACUCAGUGAAAUUGAACUCGCUGUGAAGAUGCAGUGUACCCGCGGCAAGACGGAAAGACCCCGUGAACCUUUACUAUAGCUUGACACUGAACAUUGAGCCUUGAUGUGUAGGAUAGGUGGGAGGCUUUGAAGUGUGGACGCCAGUCUGCAUGGAGCCGACCUUGAAAUACCACCCUUUAAUGUUUGAUGUUCUAACGUUGGCCCGUAAUCCGGGUUGCGGACAGUGUCUGGUGGGUAGUUUGACUGGGGCGGUCUCCUCCUAAAGAGUAACGGAGGAGCACGAAGGUUGGCUAAUCCUGGUCGGACAUCAGGAGGUUAGUGCAAUGGCAUAAGCCAGCUUGACUGCGAGCGUGACGGCGCGAGCAGGUGCGAAAGCAGGUCAUAGUGAUCCGGUGGUUCUGAAUGGAAGGGCCAUCGCUCAACGGAUAAAAGGUACUCCGGGGAUAACAGGCUGAUACCGCCCAAGAGUUCAUAUCGACGGCGGUGUUUGGCACCUCGAUGUCGGCUCAUCACAUCCUGGGGCUGAAGUAGGUCCCAAGGGUAUGGCUGUUCGCCAUUUAAAGUGGUACGCGAGCUGGGUUUAGAACGUCGUGAGACAGUUCGGUCCCUAUCUGCCGUGGGCGCUGGAGAACUGAGGGGGGCUGCUCCUAGUACGAGAGGACCGGAGUGGACGCAUCACUGGUGUUCGGGUUGUCAUGCCAAUGGCACUGCCCGGUAGCUAAAUGCGGAAGAGAUAAGUGCUGAAAGCAUCUAAGCACGAAACUUGCCCCGAGAUGAGUUCUCCCUGAGACUUAGAGUCUCCUGAAGGAACGUUGAAGACGACGACGUUGAUAGGCCGGGUGUGUAAGCGCAGCGAUGCGUUGAGCUAACCGGUACUAAUGAACCGUGAGGCUUAACCU